CAGCAGCUGCAGCUCUGAUUGGACCCCUAGCCUGGGAACUUUCAUAUGCUGCAGGUGCAGCCCUAAAACGACAAAAAAAAAAAAAAGAAAAAAAAAAAAACAAAAAACACCUCUGGAGGAAGAACAUUCUAAGGAGAGAGACUGCCCAAAAAAAGCUCCAAGAUAGUGGUAAGCGUGGUCUGUUCCGACUCCAACAAAACUGCCAGUGACCAUGUCCCUGGUCCUGACCAAGGAGACUUGAGGACACAUUUGCUGAAGCGUAUCUGGAGACAGCUGCCUGUGAAUUAAAGAGCCCUCUUUCCCACCCACUGUCUGUCUUUUCUUCCUGUCUUGACACAGUUAGGGGAGGACACCGUGGCCAGAGCUGUGAAAAGCCGUUUUGCAAACAUGAGGCAAGAAGCAACUUCACUCUCCAUCAAACAGAACCAAAGAUUGGAGUCAGGAGCGGGAGAUUCUGAGAGCUCACUCCUAAACCGAGCACAGAGAGGUGUGUGCCCUGGAAACACUCCCUGACAAACUUUCAACACACAACCCUCUGCCUCAGCGCCUGUUCACAGCGAUCUCAGUCCAAAGCAUUUGGUACUGGAAGUGGUCCUGGGAAACCGACCCUGAAAUGGAAGUUUAAUGACUCAGCCUUAAAAAAGGAUGAAAUAGUGCCAUUUGCAGCAACAUGGAUGGACCUAGAGAAGAUCAUACGGAGUGAGGCUCGGACCUCCGAAGGCAGAUCUCUGAACCUCACGGUAGGGUUCUUUAGCAGCCAGAAGAUGAAGAAUGCGUGACUCUGACCCUCCCAACACCCCAGGGUGGGAUCGCUCUUCGCCCCAUUUUCCAGGAUGUUCAUUUACCCUCCCCAAAGCCAUGGACUGGUAUGAAAACUGCUCCCAACUCCUUCCAACCCUGACACGGGACGAUGACGCUGAAGUUUAUCUAGGAAGAGGCACAAAUCGGACAGCCGACCCUAAUAAAUCAUGGAGUAGGAACAGGGCUGCCCCGGAUCCUUAACCCAUUGAGCGAGGCCAGGAUCAAACCCACAUCCUCAUGGAUCCUAGUCAGGUUUGUUAACUGCUGAGCCACGAAGGGAACUCGCAGUUUUGCUUUUUUUUUUUUUUUUUUUUUUGAAACACAGCCAUGCAUGCGGACGCAAUUCUGCACUAUCUAUGGCUGCAUUGCACUGCAGAGACAAAAGUUGGAAAGACCAUAUGGACACAAAGCUGAAGGUAUUUUCUAGUGCGUUACGGAAUAAGUUUUGGAAUUCUUCUGUGUAGCAUUCCAUUGUGUGAAUGUACUAAAACCUAAUUCUUCAUUUUAAUGUUAAGGCGCAUUUGUGGAGUCGCCAAGUUGGGGCUGUUAGUAAUCUGCUAUGAACAUCUCACGUAUGUCUUUUAGUGAAAAACGCGUGUGCAUUUCCAUUGAGUCUAUUCCUGGGAGUGAAUUUGUUAAAUCACAGGGUAGACGUUAAGUUUAACCUUCUCAAAACCAUCCACCAGUCCUCUAAAGCGGUUGUGCCAUUAUUUCUCCCACAAGCAGUGUCUGAGGGUUUUGGUUGCUCUGUAUCCUCCUGCACUUGUAUUUUCUGUUUUUAUCAUUUUGGCCAUUUUCUCUGCCCCCGUUUUGGUGCUUCUUUUCUCUCUAGAAGUUACUUCUCAGCAUCCGGGGGUGACUGUUUCAUCUUUGAAUACUUUGUUUCCUUAAGAAACUCUUCAUAUUGUUGCCUUUUGGACUUUUAAAGAUCAGCAUGUGGAGUUCCCUGGUGACCUAGUGGUUAAGGGCUAGGCAUUGUCACUGCUGUGCAUUAAAUAAAAAAUUUAACAU
rnacentral:lncRNA from 1 species